rfam:Ovis aries breed Texel chromosome 2, whole genome shotgun sequence.
UCCCUGGUGGCUCAGAGGAUAAAGCCUCUGCCUGCAAUGCAGGAGACCCGGGUUCGAUCCCUGGGUUGGGAA